rnacentral:rRNA from 1 species
UACGUAGGGUGCAAGCGUUGUCCGGAAUUAUUGGGCGUAAAGAGCUCGUAGGCGGUUUGUCGCGUCUGCUGUGAAAACCCGAGGCUCAACCUCGGGCCUGCAGUGGAUACGGGCAGACUAGAGGUAGGUAGGGGAGAAUGGAAUUCCCGGUGUAGCGGUGAAAUGCGCAGAUAUCGGGAGGAACACCGGUGGCGAAGGCGGUUCUCUGGGCCUUACCUGACGCUGAGGAGCGAAAGCGUGGGGAGCGAACAGG